UACGGGGGGUGCGAGCGUUAUUCGGAAUUAUUGGGCGUAAAGCGCCUGUAGGUUGUUUAAUAAGUCCGUUGUUAAAUCCCAGGACCCAACUCUGGAUAGGCACCGGAUACUACUAAACUAGAGUAUGAUAGGGGUAGAGGGAAUUUCUAGUGUAGCGGUGAAAUGCGUUGAUAUUAGGAAGAACACCGGAGGCGAAGGCGCUCUACUGGGUCAUUACUGACACUCAGAGGCGAAAGCCAGGGUAGCAAAAGGG
rnacentral:rRNA from 1 species